ACAGCAGCCUCCACGUGACCACUGCAUAGCAUAUAAAUUAAUACUUCCAUUGCUGAAAAAAGCAAUAUUCUAUAGCCCAACAGCAACAGCAUUCAAAUCAUUGGUUGAAUUCUAACCUUAUUCUUUCCCUACAAUCUGGGAUUAAAUAUGAACAGUUUUAAGCUAUACCAAGGAAAAAGGGGAAAAAAGAAAAAGAAGGGGAGGGAGAAGGAGAGAAGGGGAAAAA
rnacentral:misc_RNA from 1 species